GCAGCAACUCACCUUCUUCGGAAGCCGAUUGGCUGCGCUGGGGACACCUGUUGGUGUGCAAAAAAGAGUGGUUGGAAAGGCAAGGCCGAGGGAGCGCGCCCACCCUACCCACCCACAGCGCUCCUCCUUGACGCCGCGAGCAGGACCCUGUCUCACUGACCCCGUGCCCACGGCGGUCCUUGCCUGCUUCUAUUCUCCCGGUUUCCCCAGUCCCGAGUAAUGGAAAGCCAGAGCGAAAGCGAAAGCAUCCUAGUCGCCGAGACAGAGUCUCACUAUGUCACCCAGGCUGGAGUGAAGUGGCAUGAUCUUGGCUUACUGAAACCUCCAUCUCCCAGGUUCAAGCAAUUCUCAUGCCUCAGCCACUUGAGUAGCUGGGACUACAGGAUUUCGCCAUAUUCCCCAGGCUGGUCUCGAACUCGUGAGCUCAGCCCAAAUGACCCUCCAAGACCCUCUGGAGGCAUCCGCAGUGCUCCUUAAUUUGCAGCUCUACAGAAUGAGACCGGCGUGGCAGCCCCCUUUCAGGACAGCUCCCGAGAUGCAAGAGGAGCCCCUAAAUCUCACCCAGCAAAGCCGUUUCUUCCUAACCGGGCUGGGGAGUGCCAUGCACUGCCAGGAGAUGGCGACAGAGGAUGAGCCUGCGGAAACCGGGUAAGGGGAGGGCGGAGCUGAGGUGAGGACCCACAUCCCUCAUGCCCAAUGGCAGCACGAGGUGGAAAUGGUUUGCCCAGUCCUCAGUUCUCCAGGACAGAGCUUGAGCCUUCUGGGAAACUGCUUUUCCCUGGCUGAGUGAUUAGUGGGGAUGUCAAGUUGGGAAGCUGGAUGUUCCCUUCCAUGUGCUCCUCUGAGAAUCAUCUGUUGGUCUAAAGGUGCUAGAACUGAAGCUGGUGAGCCUCUUGGGGCGGCCUCAAGGGCUAACAAGAUCUCAAAUGCUCUUCUCUCCAUCGCUUGUAGUAUCCUGGAUUAUUGUGAAAAUGUAUAGGGAUGCCUGGGGAAGGGUUAAGGAUUAAAAUAAAAGGUUUAAAUAUAAAUAACUUUAUAUAUAAAUUUGUUUUCUUGUAAACCAAUAUGUUAUACAGUAGGAAGUUUAAUUCCUUAACUUUGGUUUUUCUCCCUAGCCUUUUCAUAGCCAACAAGAGCAAAAGCACACUGCAAUGUCCAAACGAAUUGCAGGUGUUUUCUGCUCCCUGAAGCCUGGGAAUUAAUUUAUAUACUCAGUCCCUUUUCCCUUGGCUGGCCAUUGAAGUAGUUGAACCACAGGACUGGACUGUCCAGAAUCAUUAGCCAGAGUCCGCUGUGAGUGGACGUCUUUUAGUUCUGCUUCAACGCUAUAACCAACCUUUACCAAAAGCAACAACAAAACAAAAAACUGCAGAAACCAAUGAGUUCUGUUCACAAAGGAUGGCUCCUCAUGUCAUCACACCAGCAAGGAAUGGACGAGCCUCUGAUUUUUCUCUUCUUGGCUGACUUUACAAGGUUGGGUGCAGCCCAUGAGGAUCAUGAAGCAAAGACAGAAAGUGCUGGAGAAGCCCCACCUUCAGGGCCUCACCUUUAGCUGGUUUGUAUGGUUCCACUUCAUGUAGCUGUUGGAACACCAGUCUCUCUAAUGUGCUCUGUGGGAUAGCUGUUACCUUCCACUAAUUUAUGUCUAAUACCUAUAAACCUAAAGUGUCCUUUUAAAAAUUUUAUUCAGUCUUUUUGGAGGAAAUUUUUGUGCAUGCCAGAUAUAGUGUCAAGCGUGGGGAUUGCUAAGAUGAAUGUAACAUUGUCCUCACCACCCAUUAAGUCACAAUCUAGUAGAUGAGUAAAAGUAAAAAAAAUAAAAAAAAAGAGUUAUAACCAUAAUACAGAAGUGAACAGGUUGCAGUGGUAGCACAGAGAGGGCUUCAGGGAUGCUGUCACAGAGGUGGUAACAUUUGAGAUAUAGAUUCCAAAUUCAGAUGUGUUUGCUGUUGCAAAAUUCCAGGGUCUAUGUGCCCAGUUCCUGAACAUUCCAGUGAUAAUUUUUACCUAAAAUUUAGGUGGCAAAUGAAUCUUACUAUAACCACUUG